GCGCGCUCUCCAGUCCCAGCUUCCACGCCCCCUCCCUCCCGCCGGUGGGAGUCACUGCGCAGGCGCAACGGCUGGGCAGUUGGAGGGAGGGGCUUUCGUCAGAGGCGUUAACUCGUUGGGGUUGGCGCCGCCGCCAUUUUGAAUUCGCUGUCUGCUGGUCGGAUCCGUGGCUGCGGCGGGUAAGUGCGGCUCCGUGACCCCCUGAGAGCGCGAGAGAGACCGAGGGAAGACGAAACAUGGCAGCGAACAGCCGGAACUUGAAACAAGUGCGGAUCGAAAACAGCUCCCCGGCGGCCCCGCUCGGCAUGGUGGGGGGCGGCGGCCUGAAGGGGAUGCGGGGCCUGGAGGCGGACAACGAGGUAGGGGCGAUGGCGCUGGCGCAGGUCAAAGAGGCUGGCGACGAGGAGCAGGAGGUCGGGUUCACCAUCGACAUCAAGAGCUUCCUCAAGCCCGGCGAAAAGAGCUACACGCAGCGUUGCCGUCUCUUCGUGGGGAACCUGCCCACCGACAUCACCGAGGAGGACUUCAAGCGCCUCUUCGAGCGCUACGGGGAGCCCAGCGAGGUCUUUAUCAACCGCGACCGCGGCUUCGGCUUCAUCCGCCUGGAGUCUAGAACACUGGCUGAAAUAGCAAAGACAGAACUUGAUGGUACUAUUUUGAAAAGUAGACCACUUCGAAUUCGAUUUGCUACACACGGAGCUGCCUUAACAGUCAAGAAUCUUUCACCUGUGGUUUCCAAUGAGCUUCUGGAACAAGCUUUUUCUCAAUUUGGUCCAGUGGAGAGGGCUGUUGUUGUAGUAGAUGACCGUGGCAGAGCUACAGGAAAAGGUUUUGUAGAGUUUGCAGCAAAACCUCCGGCAAGGAAGGCUCUAGAGAGAUGCAGUGAUGGGGCAUUCUUACUAACAACAACACCGCGACCUGUUGUUGUAGAACCUAUGGAACAAUUUGAUGAUGAAGAUGGGCUACCAGAGAAAUUAAUGCAAAAAACACAACAGUAUCAUAAGGAAAGGGAGCAGCCUCCACGUUUUGCUCAACCUGGAACAUUUGAAUUUGAGUAUGCUUCACGAUGGAAGGCUCUUGAUGAGAUGGAAAAACAGCAGCGAGAACAGGUUGACAGGAAUAUUAGAGAAGCCAAAGAGAAACUAGAGGCAGAAAUGGAAGCAGCUAGACAUGAACAUCAGUUAAUGCUGAUGAGGCAAGAUCUCAUGAGGCGCCAGGAAGAACUGAGACGUUUGGAAGAACUUAGAAAUCAAGAGCUACAGAAACGCAAGCAAAUACAAUUGAGACAUGAAGAAGAACAUCGACGUCGUGAAGAAGAGAUGCUACGGCAGAGAGAACAGGAAGAACUGAGACGACAGCAGGAAGGAGGAUUUAAGCCAAAUUUCUUGGACAAUGAAGUCAAAUGGACAAAUGCAAAUACGAACACAGCUGUGCGGAAUAUCUGGCUGAAGGUUUCUUUUGGAUAACAUCUGUUUCUCCAGAUACAUAAUCACAAAGGAGUACAUGUCCUAAGUGCAUCUCAAAAAUGGAGUUCUUCCUUUCUGUUUGGUGGAUAGUGGGUAUCAUGAAGUGAUUGCUUUUCCUGCUGGCUAAGUCAAAGUGCCGUAUGGCCCACUUCAAUGGAAGUCUAUUUACUCUGCAGUUCUAUAUCUUUAGGUUAAAAUUAAAAUGCUAAAAUGCAGAUGAAGAUUGGUUUAAAAAAAAAAGUUCUGCUGUGUCUUAAGAGUACAGAGGGUCAAGAUCCUGAAGCCAUUUUUUUUUUUCACUUUCAGGUUGGAAAAAAGCAGUGAAGUCAAUUUCAUCUUCACCUUGAGAAGUACUGUGCAGAGCAUUGAGCAACAAACAUACUGUUCUCUCAGUGUGAAGGAGAUAGAGCUGAAGCAUGUCUGUCACUAUCAGCAUCCUCCACAUACACAAAAAAAAAGCCAGUUUUUUUCAAAUGAAACAUUAGUGCUGAGUCAGCAAUGAUUUAUAACUUUUGAUUUAUGAUGUGGGGGCUAUAAGCAUGGAAAGUUCUGUUAGAUCUCUGUUCAUAGUAUUGAUAACCGGGUUUUCAAGUUUGUAGACAUUAUAACCCAAGGCAGGUUUAAGUUCUUAUAUGACUGAACUGCAUUUAUGGGGUUUCUCCAAGAUAGAGAAAUAACUGAGUUAAAUGACACCAUCAGUUCUUAUAAUCAGGAGAAGGCUGGGAGUUACGUGUGGUAAAAUUAAUGGAAAUUGCAGCAAAAUCAGCAAACUUGACACCUGCUGAUAUACAAAGUCUGGAAUAAAUUGUUACAUGCUAAUCUCAAAGUAGCACCCUGUAACCCCCAUAUUCAUCAUUUGUAUGUCGUGAUAUUUCAUAAAAAGCAUGCCAUGUAACAUACCAUAUCUGCUGAAACUCAUUGUUCUGUCAAACUCUGUGCAUCGCUAUUGUGUAUGAAGUUAUGAGAUUUUGCUGUAUGGUUGUGGUUGAAACAUGUUGAGAGUUUGGGACUCGUCCAGUGGCUGAGGGUGGUGACCCAUGCCCAAAGGGGUGUUAAAACUACAGUUGAUCAAGAUGGUAAACAAGAAAUCUACAAUUCAAUAAGAGACAGUUACACAAGAACCACACAGUUAGGAUUGUUCUACUCUCUGACUCAGCAAGGCAUGCCUGGGCCAGUUUCUUUCCAGGGACGUGGACUAAGAGUAUAAAAUAAGGGACAAUGAUAUCAUGAGAUGACAUCUCUCCUCCCCAACAUAUGCUGAAGGCAACAAGAAUCCUGGGAAGACAAAGUCUGAGAAGGAAACUCAGACUGUAUUAAGAACUGCAACCUACCUGCAACAUCCAGUGGGGUGAGAAAAGCAGAUUCAGCUCUUUCUUAGGCUUUGUCUACACUACUACUUUUGUUUAUCAGGAGUGUGAAAAAGACCGAACCCUGGCAGACAUUGCUAAUAUGGCUCAAUAGGGGUGGCUUAAUUAUGCUGGCAGGAGAGCUCUCUCGUGCUGGGAAAGAGCAGCUACAGGGGAGACUUUACAGCGGCACAUCUGUACCACUGUAAAGUCUGUAGUGUAGAUAUAGUCUUAGUGUAAAAGUUUAGCAUUUAAAAUGUGUUCACUUUUUCUCAACUUAUGUCUGCCACCUAAAAAAACCUAUUUUCUGUAGUCAGUAAACUUGUUUUACCCUUACCAGCAAGUUUGUCUAAAGUACUGGGGGAAUCUGCUCAGAUUACAAAGGGUGCUGCAUGUUCCCUUUCCUUUGAUGAAGUGGAUGCUAAUUAAUAAACUUGAACUAUUCAAGAGAAGGUCUUGGGCAGUGUAAAAUGAUAUAUUACUGGGGUGUAAGGCUUGGGGUUGGGCAAGAUUUGUUAAUGUUUCCCUAUGUAUGGUUCAUGAUUGGCUGGGAGAGUGUUCAUGCCACUUAGAUUGGUUUGCCUCUGCAUGCUGCUGGCUGAGUGAUAACAGUCCCUGGAGAGAGCUUCUGCUUGUCACUGACAAAACAUUGUGAGAGAGAGCCCAAGUUGGAGAGUUAAAGGGACAUAGCUGUCCCACAGUUCCUGUUUGCAGCCUGUUGAUCCUGUCACAAUGUACAGUUAGGUGGUUAGGUUGUCAUAUGAUGGCUUUUGGAAAUUGAUGUAUGUAAAAUGUUUCAGGCGUUUAUUAGAUGAAUUCAGAAAGCUUCAAUAUUUAGUAUAUUGAAGAGUUGGGUUAGGUAAAUGUAGUCCUAAAGGGGAAAGUUUCCAUAGCAUGGAAUUUGCAGUUGCCUUAUCCUUUUACUGUAAAGAAUUUAUAAAAACACCAACUCUAGUCACAGGCUCAUUGCAAGUUAGACCAAAUAUAAAAGUAAAGUUGCUACCUAUUGCUAUUCCCACUUAUGUUUGGGGGAGGGGAGGAGAAUGAAUAGAUGGUGAUGGAAUUUUCUGACCUGCAACUGCUAAAAAUAGUCAAAUAGUUACUCUGGCCAUAUUAGCAAUCUGCUCCAGCAAAAGACAAAACUACAGAUGUCAUCAACUUUGAGUGAGCUGUCAUUCUGAUAAACGUUUCAUACUUUCACAUUAGAAACUAUUUUACAUUGUUUAAUGUGUUAAAUUUGUAAAUGUCAGCUAGUUUAACUUGACUAAGAGUAGGUAAUAUCGCUUAACACAAAUCAAACAAGAGACCACUCCUAUGGACAAAGGGCAGAGGCUACGUGUCUUCUCUUCCCCCUUUCCAUGAAAGAUGGCUCCAGUGUGGCUUCCUCUGCAUCACUGGAAAAUGAACUCUGCUCCUCCAGGCUAUGAUUAUGCUACAAGGAGUAUUAUUGCCCCAGCUCACCUGCAUGUAUUUAAGUGAUUAUAAAAAGCAAUGUAGCACAAGCAGUAGCAGAGGCAGCACAGGAGAACUGGGCCAAGUACAUAUGUACAAGUGCUACCAAGACUCCACUGCUAUUUAUCCUUGCAUUACCUUACUGAGAGCUGUUGUGAAUAUCUGUACAGCAACCGGGGAAUCACAGCUCCCACUGUAGAUGUAGCCUAACUAUGGGAAAAUUUUCUUACUCUCACUUCUACAGGAUGAAGAGAUAUAGUAACACGCCUGAACUGCAUUUCAUAGCUUCAGAUGAUUUAUCUAUAGCAUUUAAACUUUAUUAAAUCCAUGCAGAGAUCAGAACACUUACAGUAAGGGAAAAGAAAGCCAGUUCAAAGACUGCAGGAUCCUCACUCUCGCAAAGACAGCUGAUUUACAACUCUGGUUAAAGGUUUGGGGUUAUAGGCUCCCAAGGAUCUGAGAGUUGCUCGUGAGUGGAAUGAGUCAUCUGUCUUUUUGGUGAAUAAUUUGGGCUGGCAAGUCUUCCACCAUGAAUUGCACCUCUUCGGGGAAGCGAGAAAGAUAGAGCCAUGAACUUCUCAUUACAACCACCAUCAACACAGAUGUUACAGCCCUGUCCUCAGAAUCAAGUGCUGCGAAUUUUUCUCCCUUGUCUUGGCAAUAAAAUUAAUCAAUUCAGA